CCAGCACCUGCGGUAAUUCCGACUCCACAAGUGAAUGCUAAAGUUGCUGCAGUUAAAAAGUUCGUAUUUGGAUUUUUGGUAAUCUGCACACGGCCCCUCCAAAUUUUGGUGUGUGGCUACUGUGUGGGACCUUCUGGUCAGCUUCCUUUUGGGAGUUGGCCUGGUUACCGUGAGGAAAUUGGAGUGCUCAAGGCAGGCGAAUGCAGCUGAACACAUUAGCAUGGGAUAACAAGGCAGGACUCUUUUCUUGUUUUGUUGGUUUCUCGUAGAAGAGAGUAAUGGUUAAUAGGGGCAGUUGGGGGCAUUAGUACGGCCACGUCAGAGGUAAAAUUCGUAGAUCGUGGUCAGACUAACUUCUGCGAAAGCAUUUGUCAAGGAUGCUUUCAUUAAUCAAGAACGA
rnacentral:rRNA from 1 species